rnacentral:rRNA from 1 species
GACGAACGCUGGCGGCGUGCUUAACACAUGCAAGUCGAACGGAAAGGCCCUGCUUUUGUGGGGUGCUCGAGUGGCGAACGGGUGAGUAACCCGUGAGUAACCUGCCCUUGACUUUGGGAUAACUUCAGGAAACUGGGGCUAAUACCGGAUAGGAGCUCCUGCUGCAUGGUGGGGGUUGGAAAGCUUGGGCGGUUGGGGAUGGACGCGCGGCUUAUCAGCUUGUUGGUGGGGUAUUGGCCUACCCAGGCUUUGAAGGGUGGCCGGCCUGAGUGGGUGACCGGCAACAGUGGGCCUGGGGGAGGGCCCAGUGGGGAACGGUGGGCAGUGGGGGGGAGUAUGGACCAGGGGGGGGGAGCGUGUGGAGGAAGCGUCGGGUGUGGGAUGACGGCUUUGGGGUGGGAAAGGGCUGUAGGUUGUGACGAAGCGGGAGUGACGGUAAUGGGUAAAGAAGCACCGGCUAACUACGUG